GACAGAAGCAGGGCUGAGGGGAUUCAAGUGCUCAAACAGCCCAGGCGUAUGGGUCACCUGGCACCUCUGGAGGAGGGACAUGGCCCACAGAUGUCACCGUUUUUAAGAGGGCCUGCCCUGAUCUCGCCUAUGUCAAGGGUGACUAGAAGAAGGACGAAUCGGUCCUCUGUGUAGCUGUUUGCAAACGUGAAGAGAGGACAAGGAAAACUACUGGAUGAACACGGUUGUCUUGGGAAGAGACCUGCAGGAAGCUGCCCCAGCAGAGCCUGAGGGUCCGCCCUGGAAGAUCCUCUUUACAACAUAAACAAUGUGAUGACCAUGGAAUUCAGCAGCCAACUUUGACGGUGGCCAUGACUGACGGGCACAGACAUUUCUCUGUUCCUUCUCAGCAGGCCACGGGUUUCAGUAACGCCAGAGGCUGAGAGAGGAAUUGGUCGACGGAGGUAAGCACACAUCUAUUGAGCACCUACUCUGUGCACAGCCCUUCGGGGAUACAGAAAGGUCAAGGGCAGAGCCUCCCCUCUCUAAGGACUUCCACUACCAGGCAGAAAUCGUCACAUACGAGGAAAGCUUGACUGCAAAACAUCAAUUCAUCCAGCAACCACUCACCAUCCACUGGUAAGGCCAUGUCCUUCCAUUCUGGCCAGAGUUCCGCAUCUGUGCCUCAGUGCUGGGGCUGAUCUGACAGCCUGUGUCGCACACACACAGGUUGGGGGAGAGAUAGUUGAGACCAAAACGUUUGUGAGAUCAAAGCCAUUGAGAUGCUGUCACACGUUCCCAGGGGCACGGACAGGGAACUCACAGUCACUCCCGGAGGGAAGCGAGUACCAGCUUGAAGCAGCGUGGUGUGGGGAGGUCCUCCUGCCUGGGUGCUGCUGAGGCAGAGAAGGAGGAGGCUGUUCUCACUGAAGGCGCCUGCACAUCUCCUCAGCAGAGACGGGGUACAGACGGGCUUUGGAGAAGGGUGGUCCCUCCGCAGGAUGCGUGGGAGAGGGAGGAUGCCCGGUAACAAACAGAGCUCCUGGCAAGGGUGGGCUGCGGCCCAGCCCAGAAGAGCUCCUCCUCCCUCCAGGAACCUGGAUCUUGUCGCCCCGGGAGAACAUGUUCCCUGCCUUCAUCCCACGGAGCAGGCUUCGUGCAGAAGCUCAUCCUGUUCACAGCUCUAACUACCAAAGGCUGGGAAUCUACAAGCUGAAUCUUCAACCCAAACUCACCUCCUGAAUGCCCAUCACUGUUGCCUUCUGUCACCGGCCUUCGGACACCCCAGGAGCACCUCAGACGCACCCGAGCACAAACUCCAUGUCUCUCCUGUGAAGUUUCUCAGAGCCCCUGCCGUGGCCAAUGCUCCUGGCCACUCCACUGUGAAAUCCACAGCAUCUGUCACUCUUCUGCUCCCUCCUGCUCUUGUCUCCAAACCCAACUAACCCAGCCACCUGCAAAUCUCUCCCGCCCUCCCGGCCACCCCAAGCAGCCACUGGGGACCAUCCUCAACCUCCCCAUCCAGUCUUUUCCCUGGGCCCGAAGCAUGUUCCUAAAAUGCAGACACGUCACAUCACUCCAGUUCAAAACCUUUCAGUAGCAUUUGUUAAUGGCCACUCAUUUAUUCCACAAAAAAUUACUUAAUCUUGGGCUGGGCAUGGUGGCU